UGGGGAAUAUUGGACAAUGGGGGCAACCCUGAUCCAGCAAUGCCGCGUGUGUGAAGAAGGCCUGAGGGUUGUAAAGCACUUUCGGUGGGGAGGAAAGGCUGCUUAUGAAUAAUAAGUAGAGUUGACGUUACCCACAUAAGAAGCACCGGCUAACUCUGUGCCAGCAGCCGCGGUAAUACAGAGGGUGCAAGCGUUAAUCGGAAUUACUGGGCGUAAAGGGCUCGUAGGUGGAUAGUUAAGAUGGAUGUGAAAGCCCCGGGCUCAACCUGGGAAAGUCAUUCAAGACUGGCUGUCCAGAGUAUGGUAGAGGGAAGUGGAAUUUCCGGUGUAGCGGUGAAAUGCUUAGAUAUCGUCAAGAACACCGAUAGCGAAGGCAGCUUACUAGACUGUAACUGACGCUGAGGCACGAAAGUGUGGGGAUCAAACAGGAUUAGAUACCCCCGUAGUCCCUGAGCGGGCUGGCAAGGCGCAU
rnacentral:rRNA from 1 species